CCUUCGAUAGCUCAGUUGGUAGAGCGGGGGACUGUAGAUUUAUAAUUGUGAUCCCUAGGUCGCUGGUUCGAAUCCGGCUCGAAGGU
rnacentral:tRNA from 2 species